GUACAUCUCUAUCAAUUUUAUAGACUAUGUAUAUUUUUUUGUUAUAUACAUCCAUUGGUAGAUAAUAUAUGUUUAUUUCAUGAAUUUUCAUAUUCAAGAACACAGUAGCGACGCUUGGUGUGUGGUUCUAGUAGGGGCAUCAUUUUGGAGAAGUACAUAUAUAUGCACAAUAAAAAGUCAAAAGUAUAGAUAUUUUGGGAUCA
rnacentral:lncRNA from 1 species